rnacentral:lncRNA from 1 species
UCGAAUCCGAACCUUGCAAAAUAAUAGGAAGGACAAGCAAACAAAAUUUCCUCAAGGUAUGAGGGUUAGUAUUAGUGUAAUCAAUCAUAACAUCUUGCCAAGGUGGCUCAAACUUCACAUACACCCAAACAUCCCUCUUACCCGAAUACCCUCCCAAGAAAGAGUCAACUAGUCUAUCCACAUAAGUGUGACAAGAAACAAGGAACAAGAGUUGCUCAUCAAGUGGAAAACAUAGACUCUUCUUGGAACAACAAAUAGGCUUGAAAGCCGAGAUAGAAAGGCCAUAUAUUCCAUGCACAUUCAAGUCAUUUCAAAAGACAUCCUCAUCACCAUACUUCAAAUAAUCACCGGGAUCAAAUGGGUGGAGUGUCCAUAGACACGAGUUUAGGAUGCAUUUACUUUUUUCAAUACUACGACUAGUACAAUCAUAUAUCCCCUCUAUACUAGCAUGGUCUACAACAAAAAUAACUAGAGGGUCAUCCAUAGUCAAUCGGCCAACAUGUUCAACAUCACCAUUUUCACACACAAGUUGGUCUUCAUGACUUCCAUAAGACAAUGUACUAUCACUUGCCACAAUGGCCUCAACACUAGAUGGAUCAACUAGUGUAUCGACAAUCUCAAGUUUUACAUUAUCAUCACCAAAUGGAGGCACAUUCGUCU